GUGAAGAGGGCCGUGAAGAAAAGAAAACAGAGCAUGUGAUUUAGCCCGUGCUUCUCCCCCACCCACUCCCCGCCCCACCCCAGGAGCCUUUUGGCAACCCCUGGAGAAGUUUCUGGGUGUCACAAGCAGAGGGAAGGCGCUGCUGGCAUCUGGUGGGUGGAGCCCAGGAGGCUGCCACACAUCCCAUCGCCCACCGGACACCCCCCACGACAGUGUCAAUGGUGGCGAGAGGGAGGAAGCUCCGUCUGCCAGGGAAGACCUCCCGGAGGAGGUGAUGGAAGAGCCGAGACUGAGCUCCAGCACAAGUCCCUGGAGGAAGCGACGUGGAGCGCUGGUGUGAGUCCCAGGCCCACUGCCUUGGGAGCUGCAGAAAGCCGCCUGCUUGCUCAACACCACGUGGGCUCUCCAAGGAAACGUCAUCCCAGUUCCGUGGGCAACCUCGCUGGAGAGGCGAGUUCUUUUGUACAAGGCUUCCAGAAAGAUCUGAGUCAACAGGCUCCCCCGAGACAGCCAGGGUGGCAGCAGGCCUCUGACAGGCAGCCCAACCUGCAGGAGCCCUGCCAGCCUGGACAUGUGCUUGUUCCAAAAGGGUGGAAAAGAUCCAGGUGGCCGACUCAUCCGCACAGAAGGAGACGGCCCAGAACCGGCAGCCAUCUUCCAUCUUCCCUCAAAUGUGCGCCUUCCCAGCACCGAGCGCUGCUGCCUUCGGCUCUGAAUUUCUCGCCUGAGCUGAAAACACCCCCCUGGGUUCCCAGAGUCCCCAGAGAGAGGCCCUGUGUCAAAAUCCUGCUCUCGAGGACAGGUGUCAGACCCAGCUUCUGAGAAACUCCACUUCACAAGAAGGGGCGUUAUGGGAAAUUUGCAGGAAUACAUUUUUAGUAAAUAAACAAAUUUUCUAAAAAUGAUAAUUUGCCCA
rnacentral:lncRNA from 1 species